AAGCAUGUGACAGUUUGGCAGUGCACUGCUAGCUGGCUGUUGAAAACUUUGUAUAUGAACAGUUGCUAAGUGCACUCCACAUUGUUGCAUUCAAA
rnacentral:pre_miRNA from 1 species